rnacentral:lncRNA from 1 species
GGAGAUGCUAAGGGCUGUGUCUCCUGGUGGGGACUAUUUUGGCUUUAUAUGCUCUGUGCAGGAAUCUGAUAGAGGAGGACAGCACCAGGAUGAUGUGUGAAGCAGGUGAGAACGUGGAGGCACUGACUUGCUGAUGUGAAUCACUCUUGAACACUGUAAGAGAACUGGGAGCUCAGCAGCAGUGGACAAAAUGAAUGGAUAACGUUUGCAAGAUCAUGAUACUGUACACAAGAAGGCUGGACUUAACAUCAUAGUCACAGAGCCAUGAGGUUGCUUAGACGGAGCGCCAUGGAAACAGGGCCACGGACUGGGCAAGGCUACACUGCCCCCUGGAUGUACCAUGGUGUGGCUGGCCAGGACACGCUCCUGGAUAAGCAACUUGUUUCUGAUUUUUCUCCCAGCUGGCAUCGCCCCAGACCCCGUGUACUGCAGGAUUCAACCAACUGGCCCAAUCCUCACGUCUUUCCACCCCGCCGGGUCCCACUGAGGCACGAAGGCCAUUGGUUUCCGGGGAAGGAGUUCGGCAGGGCAGCCCCCUCUCCGAAAGCUCAAAGGCAGCCUAGUCCUGCCUAUGAGGGUCUAUAUCCCAUCAGCAGGAGGGAUUGGAUCUGCGGAGGCUUCCGCACAGAAAAAAGGGGUUCUGUAGGCCCAGCCGGUGGCUUUCCUGCAAAGUGCAGGUGGUAUCAAGGAACUCCGGCCCAGUGUGCGGUAGAUCUCCUUGCCCGAGCCCCUCCGAGCUACGAAGCCCAUAUGCUGUUGCGCCUCAGAACAGGGCGGGGCCCUCGCAAAGAAAACUGGCUAAGCCCACCGCCUUAUAUUGCUCCCCCUUCCUACGAAGCAUCGCACCGCACGGUCAAGCCUCAUCCGCCGCAGCUGCAGCACACAGGCAAGGAAGCCCUCUUGGCAAAAAAGCCAACCCGAGAGGCUCCCAAGAAAACCCAGAAUGCAGUAGAGGCGUCUGAGCUGGGGCCUUUGACUCACAGUCUUGGGAAAAAGGUAGGCAGAUGCCAGGCAAAAAUGCCAGGCAGCUGGAGCUACCUCUCAGGAGCCCAAACGUGGGGAGGCCCAAGGGCGCCACCGGGACGAACCGAGUCUUCCUAUUGCUUGGUUUCCAGCUGGGAGGGGAGCCCCCAGCACCACAGCCACACUCUCCCUCGGACGAGCAGGAGGCCCAAGGGGACGGAGGAACCCUGCCAUCCGUUUCUGAGCGGAUCCCUCCAGCACACGCUACCUGCCAGUUGGGGCUUCAGCCACACAGGGGGAUGGCCCAGAGCCCUAUCCAAUGGGAGCAAAGGGGCUGCCAAAAAAAGCAGGGACUGUUUACCCAGGUGGAAGGAACCAAGUCAUACUAGGAAGCAAGGGGGGCACCAGGUACCUAAGGCAACCCCGCAGAGACACGGGGGCCUGUUUGUAAUCGAUGCCACGUGCGUGGUAAUCCAUGCUCAUUAUAUUCCACCCCCUCAGAUGGAACAUGUCCGCUACUUAGGCUGGGAGGGAGCAGAUAUGGACAAAGUUGCUCCCCCCUCCUGCUCCCUCCCCCCUCCCUCCAUGGAGGAGCGAGCAGCUCGCAUCUUGGGCCUCUCUCUAAGCGAACUGGGAUUCACAGAGGCAGGUGGGAAACUNGAGGGGACGGUUGGGCCCAGGGGUGCGGGGAGCUGUGCCAGCAACACGGACGUGCCCAGGGAGGCGUGUGGAAAAGAGCAGCCCGGCGGGGCUCCGUCUGCCCCAGCCAGCCCCAGGAGGCCCUUGCUAACCGCAGCCCCCAGCAGUUUCCACGUUGAGCCUGUAGAGCAGGGCUUGGACUGUCCGAGUGAGAAAGAGGCAGCCGCUCCUUGCCAGGAAAGCAAUUGCUUGCCACAGGGUAAGGAAGAAGAGGACCCUGUGUUUUCCACAGAAAGCGGAUCCUAUGUCAGGGAUCUAAAAGCAGCCAUGUUGAGGAUCCGCCGGCACACGGCCCCAGACUCCGACACAGAUGAGGAGCUGGAGAAGGACUGCCAGCCACCCUGUAGGCCACCCGUGCGGAAAGGGCGGCUGAAUGAAGGGGCCCUUUCCUACAGCAGCAGCAGCAGCCUCGACAGCAGUGGCUCCAAUGCUACUGUGGUGCCAGGAAAUGGCACUCCUGCCCUCCGAAAUGGCCCGAGCCUGGCUUAGGGCUGAUGGUUGAGCUUGAUCUCCCGCCUCUACCUAGUCGGGCCAGCUCCCCGAAGAUGGAAUAGGAGAGAGCAUGACUGGGAAACUUAGAUCAUCCGGCUAUCUGCCAACCCACCUCACUCGCCAAGUGCCUGGUAACCCUGUGCCUCUGUCCUCUGCCCCUUUCUUCUUGCUGCAAGCUGGGGAACACUUGUGGGUUCAAGGCUCUGUGGUGGGGGAAAGAUGUCAUCGUAAUACUUCUCAGAUUGGUUUCCUGUAGUCGUGCGUGUGGGUAGCAAAACAGCACAGAAGGUGGCCACCACGUUCAGAGGCAAGUUCCUCUUUACUGCUAGAUGCUAGAGACAAUCUACAAGGUUAGCCAUCACUGUAAUGCACUUCAAUGCUAAACCUCUCUGCCUGGUCUUACUAGCUGGAGACAGACAAGAGUGCCAUCAGGGGAAAGCAGGAAGCUGUCAGUAUGAUCAAAGGAGACCUUUCUUUUGUAGUAGGGAUAUCUGCAGUGGGCAAUAAACCUACCAAGAUUUUUUUUUUUCCUGAAUAG